rnacentral:rRNA from 1 species
GACGUAGGGGGCAAGCGUUGUCCGGAUUUAUUGGGCGUAAAGAGCUCGUAGGCGGCUGAGCAAGUCAGAUGUGAAACCCUCGGGCUUAACCCGAGGCCGCCAUCUGAUACUGCUCUAGCUAGAGUUCGGUAGGGGACCAUGGAAUUCCUGGAGUAGCGGUGAAAUGCGCAGAUCUCAGGAGGAACACCAGCGGCGAAGGCGGUGGUCUAGGCCGAUACUGACGCUGAGGAGCGAAAGCGUGGGGAGCGAACAGG